rnacentral:tRNA from 1 species
GGACCCGUAGCUCAGUCCGGUUAGAGCGUUCGGUUUACAUCCGAAAGGUCAGAGGUUCGAUUCCUCUCGGGUCCA